UCUUUAAACGGAAACACCGCGUUGAGCCUACUCCAGCACCACCUCCAACUCCCACAGGGGGCUCCCCGGCAGUAUCCAGAGUCACCAUCGAUGAGGAGGUGCCCCAGGUUGGGACUGGGGCUGACUCUUUGGGGAAGAUCUGACAACUGGAGUGGAGAAAAUGGAAAGAGCUGAGGUCAUCCUCUGCUGGGCUGAAUUCUUGACGUCCGUUAUUGACGGUAUUAAGGAUGCCAAGUCCUGGGAAAGUGAGAUGCUGUCGUAUGAAAAAGACAAGGCUGUGGACGCCGUACUGGAGAGUGAGA